AUGGCUGUAAGUGGUGAGGACCCUAUGGCUGAUUGGGAUCAACUUGUCACCCUCACUGCUCGAUCAACAAAUUUGGAUUCCAUUGAACUGGAUUCGUACUUGUCAAAGGUACCCAUCCACCAAAGUGAUCAAUUCAAUAUCCUUGAAUGGUGGCAGAUGAACUUAGGUGAAUACCCAAUGCUGAGUCGUAUGGCAACAGAUAUCUUGGUGGCUCGUACCUCUUCGGUGGCCUCCGAGUCUGCCUUCAGCACAGGGAAGAGAGUAUUAUCAGAUUUUUGA
rnacentral:rRNA from 1 species